AAGAACAAACCAGCAAUCCUGAGAGGACCCACAGACCCUCUGAAAAAAGCGGACUGUUCCUGCAACACCCAGGAGACACCCCAAAUACUAUGAAGAAUCUGAGGCACAAAGAGGUCAACUGGCUUGCCCAAGGGUACUUGGCAGGUAAGAAUUAGGAUAAUGCUAAGUCUUCUCUUUCUUGGCCAAUAGGUGUACACUGUCCCAUAUGUACUUCCAUGUAUGCCUAUGGAAGAAAAUGUCUACCAAAUUGAUUUUUUUACACAUGUAUUUUAGGUCUCAAAAACAUCUUCUACCAUAUUGGAACAGAAAAAAAUGAAGACAAUGAGCAUAUCCUCUUACACAUGACUUCUAUUGAAAUGUUUCCAAAUCUUAAAUGCUAUAAUAUUUGCUUUGUUCCUUAUCAACUUUUACAAACAAAUCUUUAGAAACUGCUUUACAAAAAUAAUAUAUGUUCCCAUUUAUUUAUAUGUUCAUUGCUUACCUCCAUUCACUAGAAUGUAAGCUCCAUGAUGGGAGAAAUACUGUCAGCAUAUUUUCAUUUCAUUGUAUAUCCUUAAUACUUUGAGUAAUGAAUAGAUGAGUGAAACGUGUAGAAUUUAGUAAGUAUAAAUAUGCAAAAAUAAAACUUUCAAUUUAACGUACCCAUUUUAAAUACCGUAUAUAGUUUUUUUACAAAAAUGUGAUAAUGCUGUUUUGUAAUAAGUUCUUUUUUUAAAUUUUAACAAUAUAAAUGAACAUUUUUGCAUGUCAAUAAAUAUUUGUCUUUUUAAAUGUAUGGGUAACAUUUCCAUAUACAAAUAUGACAUAAUUUAUUUUUUGUUGUUGGGCAUUUACAUUGUUUUCAGUUGCUCUAUAUUAUAGGCAAUGCUUCAGUCUUUGCAUGUAUCCAUAACACUUCUCUUUGGCUACAUUACUAGAAGUAGAGUUUGCAUUUCAUGGAUUUUAAUUACAAGAAUUGCCAAGUUGUCUUCCAGAAAGAUGCUGCUAAUUUGUACAAUAAGCAGCAUUGUAGGAGAGGGUUCAUUUUCCUGAACUUUAACCUCACUAAUAUUUUCUUUCAUUAUAAUUCAUAUUGUUAUUUUAAAAUCUUCACAAAUUUGGUAAAAGUGGGAUCUUCUUUUAUGAUUUGCAUUAAUUUUAUUGCAAAUGAGCUUUUACUGUUUUCUUAUGCUUAUUAUUUAAUUUGUUUUAUUAAUUUUUCUCUUGGUACUCUUUCUUAUUAAGCUAUUAAUAGGACAAAGUAGAAAAUAACUAUUUCUCAAAUUCUUUUGAUUCGUAAGACAUCAAUUAAAAAAAAAAGAAACCCAAACCAGCAUGCCUACUUCAUCCUGUGUUGUGAGACAUGGCUAUGUGUGUCUAGGGUAUUCCAGUUUCCCGAAGCAUAGUAAGUGGAAAGUGACUUGGUAAAACAUAAAAACAGUAAGAUGGAUUAAAGCCAGACAAUGGAAGAGUUAAACUUUAUGCUAAUGAGUUAUGACUUGAAUCAGCAGGCAGUUACUAUGAAAGAAUGUACAAUUUAGCCAUCCCAAGUUGUUAUAUCUUGAUGAGUGAAUAGCUUACUACUUUUGCAGCAAUAUGUAGUUUUUAAAGUAAUUUUUCUGUUAACAGGAAGGGAUAAUUUGGACAGGGUAGUGGGAAAAAGAUCAGCUUAAAGUUUUUCUUACCUUAUCUAAUUUCUCCCACCCAGAAUUAAUGCCACUCUCCUUUCUGUUCCCUUGGUACUUUCUUCCAUUAUAGCACUAGCCACAUGCAAUUGCAGCACGUAACAUCAGUAUUAUUUCUGUAUGCAUCUGUGGUGCCUACUCUAAGGCACAGUCCAAAAGGGCCUUUUCUGUUUUGUGUGUUCCCAUCCUGCUGAAUGGAUGGUUUGGUUCAAUAAAGUCGUAUUAACAUCAGAAGACCGAAUUGCAUUUCUUGUCUUGUUGGCCAGAAAGCUGAUUCCUGUCCAUGAUUACUUGAAAUGUGGAUUUGGUUUAGCUAAUCAUAUCUUUUCUCAUUGUAGUUAACUAGAAAGAAGAAAUUACAGUAACAAGUAAUUGUUUCUUUAUCGUUGUUUAAAAGUUUAUUCUGAUUGAGGGCUGAAGUGCUUUUCUUACUCUGCCUUAUUAAACACCUAAAUUUUCUCUUUCAAAAUGUCAUUUUGUGAAAGGAUCAAGAAUACUACAUAAAUGAUAGAAUCUACUUUAUGGCACUGUGCUUGUAGAAAUGUUAUGCUUAGUUAAAAUUGAGAUACUCUAUAUGGGAGGAGAGCUCAUAUUGAUUUGGGGUAUAUAAUACAAAGUAAAAUGAGAUGAUAGAAAGAAACAAUGCAUAGGAAAGAAAACCUAUUGAUUUCUCUUCUCUUGAGCAUGAACCCACACAUAGCUACUCAAAUAUUUGUGCCUUAUACUAUUGGAAAUACAUAACACAAAAUAAAAUAACAGCCAUUAUAAAUGAUCUAGAAAAGGCUCAUUCUGAGUAACACAGCAAAGAAUUCCUCUUCAUUCAACUGUGUCUAUUUCUGUAAUGUUUUAGAACUUUUUCUCCUAAUGUUAGAACUGAGACAUUAAUAACUAGAUAAAUCAUAUAUGGAAUUAAUUGUGUUCCUUCAGAAGCAGCUGCUGGAUCACACACCCAGAAAUUAAUACUUAGCAGCUUAAAAUUUUACCUUUCCUCCCUUGAUGUGUGACUUUGGGAUUCUUACUUAACCCCAUUGCUUUCUAAUUUGCACAUGUAUUUGCACAUGGUUUUUGCAAAUAAGUGUUGAGAAUUCAAGUUAAAUAUGAGAGAGGGAUUCAAGUUGUGUUCUUUUUUGAGUUUCUGAACUUCCAGGCUUCAAAUUUCAGGCUUCAAGAAAGGUGCUAAGUAUGUCUUCCCUAAAUAUAUUAUUACCUAACAGUGAUUAUCUUCCCUCUGUGUAUUAAAAAGUACAUAGUCUUAGGAUUUUUGUCUUUUUUUAACUGUAUUUCAGAAUGUCCUAGGAUUGAUUUAAAAUGACGCAAAUAAUCUGUAACUUUUUGUUUGAAUAAAGAAUUCAACAUCUUCAUGGUAUUACUGUUGCAUUUGUGUAUAAAGGGAGGAAAAAUGGAAUGCUCAAGGUGCUCUUCUGACUUAAAAAUAUCACGGCUGGGCGCGAUGACUCACGCCGGUAAUCGCAGCACUUUGGGAGGCUGAGGCGGACGGAUCACGAGGUCAGGAGAUCGAGACCAUCAUGGCUAACACAGUGAAACCCCGUCUCUCCUAACAAUAGCGGGGCGUUUUGGCAGGCGCCUGUAGUCCCA
rnacentral:lncRNA from 1 species